rnacentral:rRNA from 1 species
GACGAACGCUGGCGGCGUGCUUAACACAUGCAAGUCGAACGGAAAGGCUCCUGCUUGUUGGGGUACUCGAGUUGCGAACGGGUGGGUAGCACGAGGGGUAUCUGCCCUGCACUCCUCUUUAAGCUUACGGCACGGGGUCUAAUACCGUAUAGGACCGCCUUUUUGAUUGUGUGGUGGAAUGUUGUUUCGGUGUGGGUUGGGCUCGCGGCGUAUCAGCGUGUUGGCGGGGUGUUGGCCUACGAAGGCGUCGCCGGGUCGCCGGCCUGAGAGGGUGUACGGCAACAUUGGGACUGCGAUAGGGCGCAGACGCGUACGGGAGGCAGCAGUGGGGAAUAUUGCACAAUGGGCGCAAGCCUGAUGCAGCGACGCCGCGUGGGGGAUGACGGCCUUCGGGUUGUGAACUCCUUUCGCUAGGGACGAAGAGUAAUUGACGGUAGCUGGAGAAGAAGCACCGGCUAACUACGUG